CCCCAUCCCACUUCUACCCCUUCCCCCCCACCUUAUUUAAUCACCUUUCUUGGCUGCCGAGGUCCUGUCAACGUGGCAACAGCUACAAACCAGAAGGCAGGGAGGUGGUGUUUCCCUUCAGCUACUAUCUUGUAACUCCCUCUUAAUUUACAAUCUGUUUGCUAUUUCAGAUGUUUGGAAAGAAAACUCCUUAGUCAGCGGCCCUGGAAAGCUUCAUUUUCAGUGAAAUUUGGACACUCCAUUCCCACCCCAGGGAGAUGGAGGGCAUCCCAGCGCCGAGAGAGCGGAACAGAGAAAGGUAUCCCAUCCCAGCUGCAGAAGCUCCUGCCACCCACUGGAAAUCCCUCUCCCCAACUGACAACAAAGCCAAUGAUGUUUGAAGACAUCACCACUUUCCUGGCUGCAGGUAGCUGUCCCUAGAGAACAGGUGGUUGUGAACGCUUGGAGGAAAUCCCAGGACAAAAGCCUUCAAGGGCCUUGGAGGACGGAUGGGACAUGAUCACCACUACCAGGAGACAGCAGGAAUCCAGCAACCAGAGUUUGACUCCUGGCACCUCUACUUCCAGUUGCUUAACAUCUGUAAAAUGGGAUAGGAAUUAAAGUAAAAAAGUACCAAAUCAGAGUUCUUAGGAUUAAAGACAUGAUGCAUGUAAAACACUUUGUGUGACACUUAGAGCACAGUAGAUGUUCAAUAUAGA